AUUGAACGCUGGCGGCAGGCUUAACACAUGCAAGUCGAGCGGAGAUGAGGUGCUUGCACCUUAUCUUAGCGGCGGACGGGUGAGUAAUGCUUAGGAAUCUGACUAUUAGUGGGGGACAACAUUCCGAAAGGAAUGCUAAUACCGCAGUCGUCCUACGAGAGAAAGCAGGGGAUCUUCGGACUUUGCGAUAAUAGAUGAGCCUAAGUCGGAUUAGCUAGUUGGUGGGGUAAAGGCCUACCAAGGCGACGAUCUGUAGCGGGUCUGAGAGGAUGAUCCGCCACACUGGGACUGAGACACGGCCCAGACUCCUACGGGAGGCAGCAGUGGGGAAUAUUGGACAAUGGGGGGAACCCUGAUCCAGCCAUGCCGCGUGUGUGAAGAAGGCCUUAUGGUUGUAAAGCACUUUAAGCGAGGAGGAGGCUACUGAGACUAAUACUCUUGGAUAGUGGACGUUACUCGCAGAAUAAGCACCGGCUAACUCUGUGCCAGCCGCCGCCGUAAAAC
rnacentral:rRNA from 1 species